UCAAUGCGGAAAUGUCCCUGCCGCACAGACCGACAGGCGCAGCCACCAGUCAGGAGCCGAGGCGGAAGCAGGCUCUGGCCAAUGAGAUGUGUGGAGGUGGCAAGGGGCGGGGCGUUGCGGCACCUGGGAGCCGGUCGGAGUUGGGCAAUGAGCAGUACCCUGGGAUCCGGCGCGUGGGAGCGGCACCUACGGCGGCGUUGCGGCCAGGGAAGCCUCGCCAGUAUAUCUCAGUAAGGGAGAGCACCUGAGCACGACUGGUUAUUUUCUCCAAUCGGUAAAAAUGUUCCCGCUGACUAGGAACUGAAGAAAGCUCUGCGGAUAGAGCCGUACCUCCCCACCGCAGCUGUCCCAAGGGAGCCCAGACACUUCUCAGGGGACGCUUGCUCCCCUCAUCACAUCUGGUUGGAGGAGGGUGAGGAUGCGUUAGGGAGUAGGCAGUGGCCUGUGUGGGGCCAGCUAACAAAAGGAGGGUUUAGGCAUUGAAGAAAGUGACAAGUGAAGGCUCCCUCACCGGAACCACCACCAUCCCCAUUGCCCCGGUUCCUAAUCCUGUAGAGAUUUCUGCUGUAAUAGGCAUUUACUUUUCUGUUCAACAUGGAACUGGCUUAAGUUACUCCUCAAGAGAUGCUUUUCUUUUGGUAGAUUCUUGAAGUCCUCAAGGAAAGAGGAUGUUACACGGAACUUGACACCAGCCUGGGGACUGUUACAGGGCCAGCCCACGGCUUGUCAAAUCACACCUGGUAUCGCCAACCCCACCUGCACCUAAGACUCAGUGCGCCUGGCAACGAGUGCAUUUCAGACUUUACAUUUCCUCUUUAAGACUCAAAUAGCCGGCACCAGGACUGAUGAAUUGCCAGGCCUUCUCUUAAGUGCCUCCAAUAAACAAGUACAGUAAUUACAGAAGAGUUUGAGGCUUUGGGCAACACUAAUCAACCAAGAAGAUUAAAGAAGAAAAGGUUUUAAUUGCAGCAAGAGCAUUUGUUAAUACCUAAGAAUGGCAUCUUGAUUUAUGAGUGAUUAAAUUUUGAGAUAUAGUACCAAAGGUGAUUGUACACUUGCUGCCUCAAGAACGCUCCAAAAAGUUUUUGAGACAUCUGUGGGCAAAACAAAGUGCCCUGCCCUCGAGAGAGCCCACAUUCUAACAGAGCAUAUUGACAUUUUUAAAAGCAAUCCUAAGGGAUAGAUACCGUUAUCACACCCUUUCUACAGUUGAAGAAUAUGAGACUUAUAGAAAAUAAAGAACGUCCCCGAGUUCACACAGCUGACUUUGCCAUCCCCAAUGUAUUGCACCUCUCAUUGCGUGUGAAUGAUGGCUCCUGUUCUAUUCUCCCACCUUCCAACACCACGAAGUCCAUGCCAGCUGGUCAGUUACUAAGAAAACUACCUGAUGGUUACCAAGAAGGACCUCCAGGAAACCUCAGAUUGCCCAAGGAUCACUAUAAGAAGUAACAGCAUCAAUCCAGGAUCCUUUUCACUUCACUUACCUUCAUCCAAUUUUUACUCGCAGCUUCCUGAGUCAUACGAAGAACAUAUUUUUUCUUCUUUAUCCCAGUUAUCUCCCUAAAAGAAACUUAAGUAGGGUGAACAUAUGGAUUAUAUAAGACAAGUAAAGAAGCCAUGGCAAACUCCAGUACUAAAGUCACUGGGCAGGGCAAGUCCUGAAGGAGUGAUAGUAGGGACCACCUCCCUUCAAAAUGUUUUUCAGUGGGAUAAAGUCAUUCACUAAGGCAGAAGUUCUCAAAGUAUGCGUGGUCCCUAGACCAGCAGCAUAGGCAUCAUUGGGGAACUUGCUAGAAAUACCAAUUCUCAGGCCCCAACAGUGUCCGGAGUUUGAGUCAUAAACUCAGGGAGUGGGGUCCAGCAAUCUGUGUUUUAAUAAGCCCUCCAGGUGACUGACUUAAGCUAAAGUUUGAAAACUACUCUACUGAACAAAUCUUGGGAAACUUCAUGUCAUUCCAUCUUGAGCAAAUUUCUUGGACGUAACAUCCAGACUGGUUAUGCCAUUAUCUCAUUCCAGACCCAGAGAAGAAGGCACAGCCUCUGCUGGAUUCUUGGCUAUACACAACACUGUCUCAGGGGAUCUCUCUGUAACACAUCAACCGGUCUUCUCUUAUUGCCUUUGGUUCUCAUUCCUGAUCCCAGAGGUUGUCUGUCGGACUUGGUUUAAGCCUCUCUGGCCAAAUACUGUAUCUGUUGCUUUAUCUGGUCUGUCUCUUUGGUUUCUGAAGAAACCUUUCCCUUGGAUCCUGUAUCUGUUUCCCUUUUACUCCAAGUCCUGUAGCCAUCGAUCAUUUCUGCUUUACUCCAGACCCCUCCCCGCAAGUCCCUCUUUCUGGGAAAAGGAGUCAGAGUAUCAAAUUAAUUUUUUCCUUUAAAAAAACAAAACAGGCCGGGCGCGGUGGCUCAAGCCUGUAA